AACGCGAAGAACCUUACCCAGGCUUGAACAGCGAGUGACCACUCAUGAAAGUGAGCUUCCGCAAGGACACUCGUAGAGGUGCUGCAUGGCUGUCGUCAGCUCGUGUCGUGAGAUGUUGGGUUAAGUCCCGCAACGAGCGCAACCCUUAUCUUUAGUUGCCAUCAGGUCAAGCUGGGCACUCUAACGAAACCGCCCCGGAUAACGGGGAGGAAGGUGGGGAUGACGUCAAGUCCUCAUGGCCUUUAUGUCCAGGGCUACACACGUGCUACAAUGGUCGGUACAAACCGUCGCAAACCUGCGAAGGGGAGCUAAUCGGAAAAAGCCGGCCUCAGUUCGGAUUGGAGUCUGCAACUCGACUCCAUGAAGCUGGAAUCGCUAGUAAUCGCAGAUCAGAACGCUGCGGUGAAUACGUUCCCGGGCCUUGUACACACCGGUACUA
rnacentral:rRNA from 1 species